CUAUCAUGCAGUCGAGCGCGGGAAGCGAGUGGAUCCCUUCGGGGUGAAGCUCGUGGAACGAGCGGCGGACGGGUGAGUAACACGUGGGCAACCUGCCUGUAAGACCGGAAUAACCCCGGGAAACCGGGGCUAAUGCCGGGUAAUACUUUUCUUCGCAUGAAGGAAAGUUGAAAGAUGGCUUCUUGCUAUCACUUACAGAUGGGCCCGCGGCGCAUUAGCUAGUUGGUGAGGUAACGGCUCACCAAGGCGACGAUGCGUAGCCGACCUGAGAGGGUGAUCGGCCACACUGGGACUGAGACACGGCCCAGACUCCUACGGGAGGCAGCAGUAGGGAAUCUUCCGCAAUGGACGAAAGUCUGACGGAGCAACGCCGCGUGAACGAUGAAGGUCUUCGGAUCGUAAAGUUCUGUUGUUAGGGAAGAACAAGUACCGUGCGAAUAGAGCGGUACCUUGACGGUACCUAACGAGGAAGCCCCGGCUAACUACGUGCCAGCAGCCGCGGUAAUACGUAGGGGGCAAGCGUUGUCCGGAAUUAUUGGGCGUAAAGCGCGCGCAGGCGGUUCCUUAAGUCUGAUGUGAAAGCCCACGGCUCAACCGUGGAGGGUCAUUGGAAACUGGGGAACUUGAGGACAGAAGAGGAGAGUGGAAUUCCACGUGUAGCGGUGAAAUGCGUAGAUAUGUGGAGGAACACCAGUGGCGAAGGCGACUCUCUGGUCUGUUUCUGACGCUGAGGUGCGAAAGCGUGGGUAGCAAACAGGAUUAGAUACCCUGGUAGUCCACGCCGUAAACGAUGAGUGCUAGGUGUUAGGGGGCUUCCACCCCUUAGUGCUGAAGUUAACGCAU
rnacentral:rRNA from 1 species